rnacentral:rRNA from 1 species
GACGAACGCUGGCGGCGUGCCUAAUACAUGCAAGUCGAGCGAAUCGAUGGGAGCUUGCUCCCUGAGAUUAGCGGCGGACGGGUGAGUAACACGUGGGCAACCUGCCUAUAAGACUGGGAUAACUUCGGGAAACCGGAGCUAAUACCGGAUAUGUUCUUUUCUCGCAUGAGAGAAGAUGGAAAGACGGUUUCGGCUGUCACUUAUAGAUGGGCCCGCGGCGCAUUAGCUAGUUGGUGAGGUAAUGGCUCACCAAGGCGACGAUGCGUAGCCGACCUGAGAGGGUGAUCGGCCACACUGGGANUGAGASACKGCCCAGACUCCUACGGGAGGCAGCAGUAGGGAAUCUUCCGCAAUGGACGAAAGUCUGACGGAGCAACGCCGCGUGAACGAAGAAGGCCUUCGGGUCGUAAAGUUCUGUUGUUAGGGAAGAACAAGUACCAGAGUAACUGCUGGUACCUUGACGGUACCUAACCAGAAAGCCACGGCUAACUACGUGCCAGCAGCCGCGGUAAUACGUAGGUGGCAAGCGUUGUCCGGAAUUAUUGGGCGUAAAGCGCGCGCAGGUGGUUCUUUAAGUCUGAUGUGAAAGCCCACGGCUCAACCGUGGAGGGUCAUUGGAAACUGGGGAACUUGAGUGCAGAAGAGGAAAGUGGAAUUCCAAGUGUAGCGGUGAAAUGCGUAGAGAUUUGGAGGAACACCAGUGGCGAAGGCGACUUUCUGGUCUGUAACUGACACUGAGGCGCGAAAGCGUGGGGAGCAAACAGGAUUAGAUACCCUGGUAGUCCACGCCGUAAACGAUGAGUGCUAAGUGUUAGAGGGUUUCCGCCCUUUAGUGCUGCAGCUAACGCAUUAAGCACUCCGCCUGGGGAGUACGACCGCAAGGUUGAAACUCAAAGGAAUUGACGGGGGCCCGCACAAGCGGUGGAGCAUGUGGUUUAAUUCGAAGCAACGCGAAGAACCUUACCAGGUCUUGACAUCCUCUGACACUCCUAGAGAUAGGACGUUCCCCUUCGGGGGACAGAGUGACAGGUGGUGCAUGGUUGUCGUCAGCUCGUGUCGUGAGAUGUUGGGUUAAGUCCCGCAACGAGCGCAACCCUUGAUCUUAGUUGCCAGCAUUCAGUUGGGCACUCUAAGGUGACUGCCGGUGACAAACCGGAGGAAGGUGGGGAUGACGUCAAAUCAUCAUGCCCCUUAUGACCUGGGCUACACACGUGCUACAAUGGAUGGUACAAAGGGCUGCAAACCUGCGAAGGUAAGCGAAUCCCAUAAAGCCAUUCUCAGUUCGGAUUGUAGGCUGCAACUCGCCUGCAUGAAGCCGGAAUCGCUAGUAAUCGCGGAUCAGCAUGCCGCGGUGAAUACGUUCCCGGGCCUUGUACACACCGCCCGUCACACCACGAGAGUUUGUAACACCCGAAGUCGGUGAGGUAACCUUUAUGGAGCCAGCCGCCUAAGGUGGGACAGAUGAUUGGGGUGAAGUCGUAACAAGGUAGCCGUAUCGGAAGGUGCGGCUG